rnacentral:rRNA from 1 species
CCAGACUCCUACGGGAGGCAGCAGUGAGGAAUAUUGGUCAAUGGCCGAGAGGCUGAACCAGCCAAGUCGCGUGAGGGAUGACGGCCCUACGGGUUGUAAACCUCUUUUGUCGGGGAGCAAAGAGAGUCACGUGUGGCUCAUUGAGAGUACCCGAAGAAAAAGCAUCGGCUAACUCCGUGCCAGCAGCCGCGGUAAUACGGAGGAUGCGAGCGUUAUCCGGAUUUAUUGGGUUUAAAGGGUGCGCAGGCGGGAGAUCAAGUCAGCGGUAAAAUGUCGGGGCUCAACCCCGGCCGGCCGUUGAAACUGGUUUUCUGGAGUUGGAGAGAAGUAUGCGGAAUUCGUGGUGUAGCGGUGAAAUGCUUAGAUAUUGCGCAGAACUCCGAUUGCGAAGGCAGCAUACCGGCGGCGAUCUGACGCUGAGGCACGAAAGCGUGGGUAUCGAGCAGGAUUAGAUACCCCAGUAAG